CCUACGCCCACCUUUCCCUACCUGGCGUGCAUCAUGCUUCCUGUUGUUACUGUAAGAACACCUGAGGAAGUGAAGAGCGUUCGCCAUUUUCUCCUUUUCCAACGCAAGUAGGCUACAAGACUGGGGCCAGAAGAAGACGUUAUGGAAAACCCCCUGGAUAAUUUCACCAGGCCUUCAUUGACAAGAACUAGUUCAAUGGGUAGCAAGAUCAAUUUUCAUGGGAAAUGGACCCAAGAUGUGGUCUGUACAUCUGAACAGUACAUCUACAAGGAGAAGCUGGAUGGAGUCCAACUGGAUACCGGCCAACGCCACUGGAAACGCCAUCUGGCAUCUCUUAUUGGAGGAUGCUAACAACAGAGGUGUGGACUCGAGUCAUGUGACUUGGACUCGAGUCAGACUCGAGUCAUGAAUUUGAUGACUUUAGACUCGACUUGACAAAAUAUAAAAAGACUUGCAACUCGACUUGGACUUGAACAUCAAUGACUCGGACUUUCACUUGGACUUGCGCCUAUUGACUUGUAAAGACUUGCUACUUCCCAUUAAAAAAACCAAAGAUAAAAAGACAAAAGUAUGUUAACACGGACUGAUCUAUCUCUGUGUGUGCGCCUUUGCAUGUGUGGCAGAGACCCGUAUUCGGCACAAGAUCCAAUCAAAUCACUUAGAUUGUUUUGAUUCGACAGCGGCCAACCACGCGGAACAAGCUAUUAGUCCAGGGCCAGACAACGAACGUGAAUGCGCUAGCAAAAUGAUACCGAUUAUUUCGUCUGCCUACAAAAAUUACGUGGAGACCAACAAGAAACGAAUCACGGUGUGUAGAACUUGUUAAAUUCCUCCCAGCUUCAUCCGAGCCUUCAUCACAUUAAAUCCAUUCCACUGGUUACCAGGAGGAGAAUAGCCUAGCCUACCUUAACGUUUUGUUUUGAGCACUGGUUGUCACUCAUUGGAUAGAAUGGAUAGGGGAGCGCCGGGUCAAUUGAGACACUUUUCAGUUAAACAAUCUUUUCAAAGAUUACGUUAUGUACACACACAUUUUUAUCAUGUGAUCAACAACUCACAUGUGUUGUGUCUUAGUUACAAGUGUAAUUUAACACAUAUGUUGGAUGAUCGCGCUGUUUUCAAACUUUGAACGUAAGUUGACAUUUGUAUCAAAUGCCCCACCUAUGCGUGUCGUUUGAGACACAUAGGAGGGGCAAUUAAUACAGCAUGUUUUAAACAGAAACUACUGACCUUACUCACGUUUUUAUGAAGCAUAUCGGACAACAUACUAGUGUACUCGUCAUCCCGAAAAUUUCACAUUAUUUCUCGCAAUAUAACUAGGUCAAACAAAUAUUUUUGUCCCGUGCGUAACUUCUGAUCAAAAAAAAAAAUCUACCGCAUGUAAUAUUUGUUUCCCUCACUUCGCUGAAUAUCUGUGGAUUCAUGUCAUACACAUGUUUUGUUCAUUCAAAAUAUAUGUUGUUCAUUCAAACAAGUUGUUGUUAACUCAAAUCAGUUGUUGUUCCUCGCAAAACAGUUAUUAAUUCGGUGAUUUAUACAGAUAGGCUAUUGAUCGUGCAUGUGGCCACAUCCGGGUUAUAGCGUUAGGGACAUUUAAACAGCUGUACCAAUUGAACCUCCAGCGACUACUGACACUUAAACCUGUUUUGCUUCUAAACUUCAAAACUAUGACAUUGCAUACUUUAGGGUCUGUUUAAGUACGAAUUCAUCUGUUGUUUGAUCAUAUUAUUAUUGCAUGGCACCCAAAAUAGAACUUUUGAUCACAAAAAAACUACCGCAUGUAAGAUUUUACUUACCGUAGACGAAAACCGGUUCCCGCUAAUAACUUUUGAAUGGCGUGACGUAAUUUCACGAGAUUUGCCAGGAUUGGUAGGUGUUAUGUGCUAGACGUAGUGUCAAAAUAUGACGGCUCAAGCUUGGAUGGUUUUCGAGGAAAUCGCUGUGUAUCAAUUGCCCCAUGUCCCAAUCGACCCGGCGCUCCCCUACAUAUCAAACUCCAUGUCAUGUAAUGGUAGAACGGGACAACACAAUGCCAUGCCACGGUAACCUACCUAAAUCAUAGAAGUUAACAUUGCAAGAUAUUUUCUAUGACACCAGAAAUAUUUCCUUUACCUUGUUCGUUUUUUUAACAUUCAUUUUAUUUAAUGAAAACUAUAUCCUUGAACUAUACGUGACUAUUUUGCUAAAACCGAAUGAAACCUACUUCUUAAAGUGACAGGCACUCAAUUAGACCUACACACCACCCCUGCAAUAUCAUUAAAGACAAGUGUAAUCAAUAUGAAGUAGCCUAUUCAAAUUACUGAAUAUUUUUAUUUAUAAGUAGGCCUAAUUAUGCAGAUCCUAAAAUGCUAUAAAUUGUUAACAAAAUAUGUAACGGUUUUGCCUAUAUUUUUGUAAUGUAAUAAACGGUCACUACCUGUUUCACUCAAUUUUUAAAAAGACUCGAAAGGACUCGAAAUUCAAAACGUAGGACUUGGGACUUGACUUGAGACUUGUUGGCCUUUGACUUGGACUUGACUCGGGACUUGCCUGUCUUGACUCGGGACUUGACUCGGGACUUGAGGGCAAUGAAUUGAGACUGACUUGUGACUUGCCAAACAAUGACUUUGUCCCACCUCUGGCUAACAACCACAAUAGUGAACCAGCAUUCCUGGAACAUGACUGUCAACCACAUCCAGGGAUGAAGAAAGUGUGUGUUUGUGUGUGUGUGUGUGAGUGAUAUGGAAGCAUUUCAGUCUCAAUGUUGAACUACUGUAUAGCCAGAGGUGCGUUCAAAUUCUCAAACAUAGGCAAACAUUUGCGUACAUUUCCAAACAGUCUGAGGAGGUAGUUCUCUGUGAACAUACAGUGGAACUGGAUGUGCGUUGCACUAAGGCAACAAUGCAAUUACCGUUAGAAUGGAAUGUUAGCACCAAAUCGUUCAAAUGUAACUGUUCAAAGAAAACAUGUUCACCAUGACGUUUGCCACUCAGUGUUGCCAGAUUGAUUGGGCUUCUUUUAUAUCGCUCGGCGGGGGAAAAUAACAUUUUGAGUUCAAUGGUUCUCUAUGAGAAAAACGUCAUCGGGCAUUUUUUUGCUGAAGACGGCGGGGUGAUUGGGCGGAAAUCAGUCAACCCAAUCUGGCAACACUGUUGCCACUGUUUGCCCAAUUUGAACACACCUCUGAUCUCUGUGUAAAGGACUUGCACAUGUAAAUGGAAUGAUUGCAUUUUCAUUUCCAUCUCAGGCCCAUACUUGAAUGUAUAUAUGAGUGGGGAAUUUAAAUUCAAUUUUAGGAUUACAUCGGCAUUUUGCAUAUGAAUUUGAUUCAUUUUAACAUCAAUUUAAGUUCAAUAUUGAGGCUCAUAUGCUUUCAUACUGUAGGUCUGGCGGCUUGCCCCUUUGUCCUUGACUAUGAAAACAUAGGCCAGGCAAAAGGAAUGCAAUGCAUAAUAAUGGCAAUGGCAACCUAACUAAGUAUGCACUAAUUGCAUUUCAAAUGGUUCAAGCCAAAUACUUUUUUGGCCUCUGGCAAACAAUGCAUGGUAUCCAUGCUUAACGCAUUCAUACAUGCAUACUGCUGUCCCAUGCCAAAUAGGGUAACUUUGCACUCCAAUCGUCCAAGUCUUUUCUAUAGACUUUCUCUAGGAGUGCAGGUUUUACCCCCUAUAGCAUCUUUUUCUAGCUUAUCUAGCUCUGAGAAAGAUGUUUAUUGAAGCUGGUAUAUGUACCUGUAAAUACAGCUCAAAAUACCUGGCUCUAUGAAAGUGGGCCCUGUUCUUUGUGUGUAAAUUAAGAAGUAGAAAUCUAAGAUAAAAUGUGCAAAGUCAGUUAUUUCUAUAAUUGUGAUGUGAUCUACGAAAAUCCUUCAUUUUUGCUCGAUUUCAAUCCUCCCUGGUGAAAUCUGACCAACUUAAGAUUCUGAUAUCAUCCUCGCAACAUUCUUGACACUGUCCCCUAGCAAAAUCCUGGAUACCAUUCUGUCAAAAUCUUGAAUGUUGCUAGGGUGGUAUCAGAAUAAGUUGCUAAAAAAAAAAGAAGUUUUUCCCAGAUCGCAUCACGAUUAUGUUUUGAUUUGCCAUUUUUUUUUAUUUAAAUUCCUGAAAAUCAAAUGAGUAAAAUUCCAUUAAAUUAAUAUAACACACAAACAACAGGGCCCUUUUGAACGUCUUGUUCAAAAAAUAUGUAAGACUGGCAAGUCUUCUGUCGUUGCCUUGGAGUCCUACAUAAAUAGCCCUCCUUUUGGAGGCUAACAUAGCAUGACUAGGCAGGCAUCAACUGCUUUAUAGAUGGUUCAUGCUAAACACUUUUGCCUGUGACAAAUGCAUGUUAAAUGCGGGCUGCUGUCUCAUGCCAAAUAGGGUAACUUUGCACUCCAAUCGUCCAAGUCUUUUCUAUAGACUUUCUCUAGGAGUGCAGGUUUUACCCCCUAUAGCAUCUUUUUCUAGCUUAUCUAGCUCUGAGAAAGAUGUUUAUUGAAGCUGGUAUAUGUACCUGUAAAUACAGCUCAAAAUACCUGGCUCUAUGAAAGUGGGCCCUGUUCUUUGUGUGUAAAUUAAGAAGUAGAAAUCUAAGAUAAAAUGUACAGUCAGUUAUUUCUAUAAUUGUGAUUUUUGCUCGAUUUCAGUCCUCCCUGGUGAAAUCUGACCAACUUAAGAUUCCUGAUAUCAUCCUCGCAACAUUCUUGACACUGUCCCCUAGCAAAAUCCUGGAUACCAUUCUGUCAAAAUCUUGAAUGUUGCUAGGGUGGUAUCAGAAUCAUAAGUUGCUAAAAAAAAAAAGAAGUUUUUCCCAGAUCGCAUCACGAUUAUGUUUUGAUUUGCCAUUUUUUUUUAUUUAAAUUCCUGAAAAUCAAAUGAGUAAAAUUCCAUUAAAUUAAUAUAACACACAAACAACAGGGCCCUUUUGAACGUCUUGUUCAAAAAAUAUGUAAGACUGGCAAGUCUUCUGUCGUUGCCUUGGAGUCCUACAUAAAUAGCCCUCCUUUUGGAGGCUAACAUAGCAUGACUAGGCAGGCAUCAACUGCUUUAUAGAUGGUUCAUGCUAAACACGUUUGCCUGUGGCAAAUGCAUGUUAAAUGCGGGCUGCUGUCUCAUGCCAAAUAGGGUAACUUUGCACUCCAAUCGUCCAAGUCUUUUCUAUAGACUUUCUCUAGGAGUGCAGGUUUUACCCCCUAUAGCAUCUUUUUCUAGCUUAUCUAGCUCUGAGAAAGAUGUUUAUUGAAGCUGGUAUAUGUACCUGUAAAUACAGCUCAAAAUACCUGGCUCUAUGAAAGUGGGCCCUGUUCUUUGUGUGUAAAUUAAGAAGUAGAAAUCUAAGAUAAAAUGUGCAAAGUCAGUUAUUUCUAUAAUUGUGAUGUGAUCUACGAAAAUCCUUCAUUUUUGCUCGAUUUCAGUCCUCCCUGGUGAAAUCUGACCAACUUAAGAUUCUGAUAUCAUCCUCGCAACAUUCUUGACACUGUCCCCUAGCAAAAUCCUGGAUACCAUUCUGUCAAAAUCUUGAAUGUUGCUAGGGUGGUAUCAGAAUAAGUUGCUAAAAAAAAAAGAAGUUUUUCCCAGAUCGCAUCACGAUUAUGUUUUGAUUUGCCAUUUUUUUUUUAAAUUUAAAUUCCUGAAAAUCAAAUGAGUAAAAUUCCAUUAAAUUAAUAUAACACACAAACAACAGGGCCCUUUUGAACGUCUUGUUCAAAAAAUAUGUAAGACUGGCAAGUCUUCUGUCGUUGCCUUGGAGUCCUACAUAAAUAGCCCUCCUUUUGGAGGCUAACAUAGCAUGACUAGGCAGGCAUCAACUGCUUUAUAGAUGGUUCAUGCUAAACACUUUUGCCUGUGGCAAAUGUAUGCUAAAUGCUGGCUGCUGUCCCAUGCCAAAUAGUGUACUUUUGCACUCUAUAAGAUUCCAUAAAUCAAACGAUUUAGAGAUUUUCUAUAGACUUUGGCUGAGAGUACUGAGUAGGUAUUUUCCCUACAAUCGUCGUCUUUGUAUAUUUAUACUGAAGAUGAUAUUAAUCGACGCUGGUGUUGCUAAUGUUGCAAUACCUUGCUCGAUGUUGGUGGGCCCUGUUGUUCGUGUGUGGCUAAAAAAAGAUUCAAGAUGAAAUGUACAAUAUGACUUAAUUCUAUAUUUAUGUUUAGAUUACCAACCUAGAAAUUGAAAUUCCUGAAAAUCAAAUGAAUAAAAUUCCACUAAAUUAAUAUCACACACACAAACAAUAGGGCCCCGUUGAACAUUUUUGUUCUAAAAUAUAAAUAAAGGACUCCGUUAAGUCCAAGGAUUCAGAACUAUACUGUACUCUUUGGCUAAGAUUCCUGAGUAGAUUGCAAGGACGGUGAAUGGCUUAAAUGCACUCAUCAACAUGUUGGGGGAGUCUUUGCUGAACUAAAUAACCAACUGUAAUUGUAAAAGGUCUAGGGGUCUGUUGUCUCUGAUGUAUCUGAAUAUUCCUAUGAUUGAUUUCUGUGAAGUGACCGAAUUGAAUGCACUUCCUGCACUUUCAGAUGCACUCUGUUCUUAAUGUCUUUUAAGACUUCUUCUUUGUGUCUUUCUUUUAAUCAUUCUACUUUGUGUACGUUACUUUUUAAAGACAUUUUUAAACUACUGACCUUUUGUGCUUUUGUUUUUCUAUUUUACUUUGUUUGUUUAUUUUCUAUAAUGUUUGCGUUUGUUUGUGUAAAGCACAUUACAUUCCCCCUGUGUAUGAGAUGUGCUCUAUAAAUAAACUUAUUGCUGGCCUUGUU